rnacentral:rRNA from 1 species
AUGGCCUUUUUGAUUACUCACUUGGCUGAUUUACAGUACUUUCUUGGGGGAAUCCCUGACGCUGCAUUUAGGAGUGUACAUCGGAGUUGGUUAGUUCGAGCGCUCAGUUGCUCCGUUACUCUGUUCCCCUGGGGUUCAGACUUUCGAAACCAAAUCAUAGGGAAAGCAGCCAGCAUUGCUCAACUGCUCAGUGAUUGUUUGCGCAAUAGUGGCAGAGAAAAAAACAUCCUGAGAUGGAGACGAGCUGUGUCAGUUCAGGCCAGGACACCAACGGAAGUUGCUCACUGCUCAGCGUGUGGUUCAAGCAGAGAUCGUUGCAAAACUUGGCUUUUCAACAGCCACAUUACAUUAACCGUUGAAAUCAUUGAUCUACUUCCCAAUUCUGUGGAGUAUUAUCUAUUGUGUACCAAAAACAAAAGCAAAUCCAAUCCUACAAGAUCUUCAUUCAUGAACUUACACAUUCUUUAG